rnacentral:rRNA from 1 species
AGUGAACGCUGGCGGCGUGCUUAACACAUGCAAGUCGAACGAGAACGGGUUAUAGCUUGCUAUAAUUGUCAGCUAAGUGGCGCACGGGUGAGUAAUGUAUAGGUAAUAUGCCUCUUACUAAGGGAUAACAAAUGGAAACGUUUGCUAAUACCUUAUACUCCUUAUUAACAGAAGUUAAUAAGGGAAAGAUUUAUUGGUAAGAGAUUAGCCUGUAUUGUAUCAGUUAGUUGGUGGGGUAAUGGCUUACCAAGACUAUGACACAUAACUGGUUUGAGAGGAUGAUCAGUCACACUGGAACUGAGACACGGUCCAGACCCCUACGGGAUGCAGCAGUGGGGAAUAUUGCACAAUGGACGAAAGUCUGAUGCAGCAACGCCGCGUGGAGGAUGACACAUUUCGGUGCGUAAACUCCUUUUAUAUGAGAAGAUAAUGACGGUAUUAUAUGAAUAAGCACCGGCUAACUCCGUGCCAGCCGCCGCUGUAA